AUCGCUUCUCGGCCUUUUGGCUAAGAUCAAGUGUACCCCAUACAUGCAUUAAUGUACACAGUUAUGAUUUAAUAAAAAAAAGAAAAUAUAUUUUUUAAAUUGUCAUCAGCACUGAACACGUACAUAGGUUAUUUGUUUUUGUCAUUAUUUCCUAAACAAUGCAGCAUAACAACUAUUU
rnacentral:snRNA from 1 species